AUUGAACGCUGGCGGCAUGCCUUACACAUGCAAGUCGAACGGCAGCACGGGUGCUUGCACCUGGUGGCGAGUGGCGAACGGGUGAGUAAUACAUCGGAACAUGUCCUGUAGUGGGGGAUAGCCCGGCGAAAGCCGGAUUAAUACCGCAUACGAUCUACGGAUGAAAGCGGGGGACCUUCGGGCCUCGCGCUAUAGGGUUGGCCGAUGGCUGAUUAGCUAGUUGGUGGGGUAAAGGCCUACCAAGGCGACGAUCAGUAGCUGGUCUGAGAGGACGACCAGCCACACUGGGACUGAGACACGGCCCAGACUCCUACGGGAGGCAGCAGUGGGGAAUUUUGGACAAUGGGCGAAAGCCUGAUCCAGCAAUGCCGCGUGUGUGAAGAAGGCCUUCGGGUUGUAAAGCACUUUUGCCCGGAAAGAAAUCCUUGGCUCUAAUACAGUCGGGGGAUGACGGUACCGGAAGAAUAAGCACCGGCUAACUACGUG
rnacentral:rRNA from 1 species